GCCCCACCCUAUUCCCAGACCUGACCAAUCGCCGCUUGCCUGGGGCUACGGAACACCAAUUCACGGGAAGGCUCCGCCCAGAGCCGCAGGGUCUUUUGGGAGUUGUGGUUUCUUCGCCUGGGACAGGCAAAAGUAGGGUAGAGGUGAGGGCUCCGGUUAAACGUCAGGGCUUAGCUGCGCUUGACCUGCUUUGAGAUACUCAGAAAUCCCUGGUCACUCUAUGAGAAGUCAAACUGAAGGGCGAAAAGAAUCCUGAGUUUUAGCUCAGUGUAUUGAUACCCAGCUGAAAGACCACAUUUCCCAGGCCCUUGCAGCUGGAUUUCCCCAUGUGACUGCGUCUGGAGAAUGGAAGAGAAGCAGAAGUGUUGCAUGUGAUUCAAGGAAUUGUUUUUAUGGACACGCUCUUUAUAAAUCCCUCCCUCCCUGCUCAGAUGUGAUGACCCUGGUUCUAGCAACCAUGUUGGGCCAUGAUGGUGAGUUCUAUACCAAGGGAGGGCAGAGAGCUGAGCUGGAAGUAGCCUUCGUCCCUGGGGAGCCUCGUGGAACCACUAGACAAGCUCUUGCCUGUCUACCUUUGGGGUUAUUUGUACUGAGAGAGAGAGAGAGAGAGAGAGAGAGAGAGAGAGAGAGCGCGACGUGUAUUUCUACUCAAUUUAAACUAUUAAAGGAGUGACCCUCCUCCAAUCUUUUUUUGUUUGUUUUUUUGAGUCCACUUUGGUACAUUAUAUUUUAUUAGUGAUUUAUUCAUUUCCCUAAGUUUUCAACGUUGUAGUAGUUAAGAAUUUAAGCUCUGGAGCCCGAUUGCUUGGGUUGAAAUCUUAAGCUCCUUCAUGUUCAUGGAGUUGUGUUGAGUGGGAAACUUAACCUUUCUGACUCUCAGUUUCCUCAUCCAUGAGUGAGUAUGUGCUUGGAGAAUUAGUAUGUACUUGGAGGAGUGCAUAGCUUAUAGUAACCACUCAAGAAAUGUUAGCUAUACCAUUGUUACUAUCUUUUCCCCUUUGCUUUCUUUGAAUUGGUUUUCUUUUUCUAACUACCAUGGUUGAACAUCUGGUUCACUAAUUUUCAUCUUUUUCCUUUUCUUUUCUUUUCUUUUUUAAAGGUUUUAUUUUUAAGUAAUCGCUGCACCCAAAGUGUGGCUCCAACCGACAGUCCGGUGAUCAAGAAUCAUACGCUCCACCGACUGAGCCAGCCAGGUGCCCCAUCUUUUUUCUUUUCUAGUGGAAACAUUAAAGACUAUACAUUUUCUUCAAAGCACUAUUCCCGGCAGGUUUUUUUUUUUUAAAGAUUUAUUAUUUUUAAGUAAUCUCCAUGCCCAAUGUGGGGCUUGAACCCACAACUCGGAGAUCAAGAGUUGCAUGUUCUACCGACCCAGCCAGCAAGGUGCUCCUUGCAUAGUUUUGGUACGUAGCAUUUCAUUAUUGUUUAAGUCUGAGUGUUUUUAAUUUUCCAUAUUAUCUCUUUUUUGACUCUGAGUUAUUUAGAAGUAUUUUUUAAAAUUCUAAAUGUGUAUUUUUUGGUGCAAGUUAUCUUUUGUAAUUGAUUUUUAACUUCAAUGCAUUGUGGUUAGAGACUGUGGAAGGAUACUUAUUCUUUGAAAUUGCUGAAAAAUGCCUUAAAGCCUAAACUAUGAUCAACUUUUGUAAGUACUUCAUGUGUACUUAAGAAAUAUACAUUUUAAUUGUGUGCACCAUUCAAUACAUGUCCAUUAAAUCAAGAUUGUUUACUUUGCUGUU